GAGUUUGAUCAUGGCUCAGGAUGAACGCUGGCGGCAUGCCUAACACAUGCAAGUUGAACGAGAAGUUCUGGAGGGAGUCUUCGGACGAACGAAGGAAUGGAAAGUAGCGGACGAGUGAGUAACGCGUGGGCAACCAACCUUACACAGGGGGAUAACGCAGAGAAAUUUGCGCUAAUACCGCAUAAGCGCACAGUACCGCAUGGUACGGUGUGAAAAACUCCGGUGGUGUAAGACGGGCCCGCGUCUGAUUAGUUAGUUGGUGAGGUAAAAGCUCACCAAGGCGACGAUCAGUAGCCGACCUGAGAGGGUGAUCGGCCACAUUGGGACUGAGACACGGCCCAAACUCCUACGGGAGGCAGCAGUGGGGGAUAUUGCACAAUGGAGGGAACUCUGAUGCAGCAAUGCCGCGUGAAGGAAGACG
rnacentral:rRNA from 1 species